CCCGCCAGAAGAAGUGGAAUGACCUCUAUCUGAAGAUUGACAAAUGCCCGAUGCAACGGAGGGGACAGGCAUCUCUGUUUGGGGGGCCACAGACAUGUGGCUGUGGUUUCCACACUAAGAAGCCUUCCAGCUCAGUCCCUGU